rnacentral:rRNA from 1 species
CGCGUAGGCGGCUUUGCAAGUCAGGGGUGAAAUGUCUCGGCUCAACCGAGGACCUGCCUUUGAAACUGCAGAGCUUGAGGCCGUGAGAGGAGACUGGAAUUCCUAGUGUAGCGGUGAAAUGCAUAGAUAUUAGGAAGAACACCAGUGGCGAAGGCGAGUCCCUGGCACGGUUCUGACGCUGAGGCGCGAAAGCCAGGGGAGCGAACG